rnacentral:snoRNA from 13 species
AUUUUUUUUGAUAGUUCAUGAGUGUGCUGAUUGGGCAUUCUCGUGUGUGUGUGUGUGUGUGUGUGUGUGUGUGUGUGUGUGUGCAUGCUCGAGGUGCCACCCUCAAACUUUGUUAUGAUGUUGGCACAUUACCCAUCUGAUA